rnacentral:lncRNA from 7 species
ACUGAUUGUGCUGGAGGCUCUAUCCAGGAGGAAGACCACGACAAAAAGGGGAAGAAUUCUUCAGCUGUUAAUGAAAGUAUUGCUUUGGCAUAACAAACAUUUUUGGUAUUUCAGAUGCACAGAUUCUAUUAUCUAUUAUCUUUAAAGUUGGGAUACCAGCACUUGUCCCACUUCUUCUAGUAACAGCCUUCAUCACUUGAAAGUCUAAGAUGACUGCUUUUCACCAACACAUUUCAAAAUGAUGGACUUCUGCUGAAUUCAUCCAGAAUAUUGAAUAUACUGCCAGAGAGGGAAGAUGUUUUUGUGUGAAGUCAAGAUGCAAGGAAACUCCUUUUUCGGUCACUGCAGCUACAUGUUCACAGAAUUACAGAAUGUUUAGGUUGGAACAGACCUUUGAGUCAGCCAUCCACAAAGUAAAGAGCUUCCUGAUGUCUGAUCCUUACCUGUUGCUAAAUACAACCUUCUGGAGACUGAUGCAGAACUGUUUCUCAUUGUUAAUUAUCCAUUAAAGUGAGCUUGAUUGUGUAACUCCUGUGUAUACAUAGCCUAAACAAAACAUCUUUAAGUACUAUGGGACAAAGCCUUUAGCUGAUGAGACCCUAGUUACCUGAACAUUUCAAAGUCUGUGAAGACUGUACUUACUCAUGAGGAAUGUAGAGGUGAGGGAGGAACUAUGCCUGCCUAUGCCAUCAGUUAAACAGCAGCACUGAUACCAGUUCUUACAGAAAGAAGUCUUGCAAAAUGGAAGGUGGUAGUGGUUUUCUAAUGUCACCUGUGAAUCCUUGAGAUACUACAGAAAGAAAAUACACUGCUUGAGGUUUUCUUUAAUUUUGUUUUGUAUUUAUGUAGGGAACAAAGAUGA